rnacentral:lncRNA from 1 species
UCAAAACUUCCAAUUAGAAGGUGUAGGUAUUAGAACUGGCUUUUCCAGCGAAAAGUGAGGAAGUAUGUUAAGUAUAAAGGCAUUGCCUCAAAAGCCCUACUCCCAUAUAACACUUGCUAAAAUGACUUGUUCUUUUUUUUUUAUUUGCACCGUGUGUCUGAGUCUCUUCGAGCCCCGACUAAUCCCGGGGGUGCACAGGCCCUCGGCAAGGAGUUUCCCGCAAGUGCACCAUGGUUAAUUCAGGUUUUACCCGGUCCGAUCGCCCUUAGAAAUAAAAUGACUUGUUCUUCCUCAUAAACAUUAAAGAUAAUAAUAGAAUUUUAGGUUUUUAUUAGGGGUGGCAAUUUGACCCCAACCCCAUCUAACCCGUCCAGAGAUUAAUGGGUUGGGCUACAAAUAUUUUAGCCCAUGGGUCAAUUUGGGCUGAGCCCAAGUUAACUCAUUAUUUUUUAUAGCCCAUUCUGACCCAUUAAGCAGCCCAAAUUCAACCCAACCCGCCCAUUUGCCACCCCUAGUUUUUAUUGUGUACAUUCAAAAUAAAGAUGACAUGAAAGAGUGGUCAUCUUAAAGCUAUGCUCGCAUUGCAAAAGAAAACUACCAGCAAGAAGGAGAGGAUUGUACAUUCAAAAUAAAGAUGAUAUGAUAGAGUGGUCAUCUUAAAGCUAUGUUCACAUUGCAAAAUAAAACUAUCAGCAAGAAGGAGAAGAUUGUAGGCUGUAGCUCAGCUUAAUAUAACUUACUGAUAGUUGGAACAAGUGUUACCCAAUAUACAUCUAUAUAGUUCGCAGAACAGCAACGUCUUCAUGGUUUACUGCCUCAGCUAAAAUGUGAUUCAUUUAAGUGUAUGUUCUCCAGAACAGACAUCAGUAUACUUUAAGAACUCUUGAUUUAAAGGUUAGUAAAGUAUAGAUAAUGUUAG